GGCGAGGUGGCCGAGUGGUUAAGGCGACAGACUAGAAGCAUCUGUCCCAGGUCUUCAUCAGCCAUCUGUUGGGUUCGCCCGCGUAGGUUCAAAUCCUGCCCUCGUCG